GAUGAAGAACGUAGCAAAAUGCGAUACUUGGUGUGAAUUGCAGAAUCCCGUGAACCAUCGAGUUUUUGAACGCAAGUUGCGCCCGAAGCCUUUUGGCCGAGGGCACGUCUGCCUGGGCGUCACGCAUCGCGUCGCCCCCCACAAUUCUCCGUAAAGGGAACAUGUGUUUUGGGGGCGGAUAUUGGUCUCCCGUGCUCAUGGCGUGGUUGGCCGAAAUAGGAGUCCUUUCGAUGGACGCACGAACUAGUGGUGGUCGUAAAAACCCUUGUCUUUUGUUUCGUGCUGUUGCUCGCAAGGUAAACUCUUUAAAAACCCCAAUGUGUCGUCUCUUGACGACGCUUCGACCGCGACCCCAGGUCAGGCGGGACUACCCGCUGAGUUUAAGCAUAUCAAUAAGCGGAGGA
rnacentral:misc_RNA from 1 species